rnacentral:rRNA from 1 species
UCUUGAAUAUAAACUCAUAAUACCAGGGAACUACGAACAAUAAUAUAGUUUAAAACCCAAAGAACUUGGCGGUGUUUCAGACUACUUAGGGGAACCUGUUUCAUAAUCGACAAUCCACGAUAAACCUAACCUUAUUUACAAUAAGUAUGUAUACCGUUGUCGUCAGGUAACUUUUAAAAAUAUAGAAGUUAGCAAUAAAAAAAUUAAUUUUAACGUCAAAUCAAGGUGCAGCCAAUAAUAAGGUGAGAAUGGGUUACAAUUAAAAUUUAUAAUACGGAAUAAAUUAAGAAAUAAAUUUAUGAAGGAGGACUUAAAAGUAAAAAAAUAAGUAUAAAAAUUUUUUGAAUAAAGCUCUGAAACGUGC